rnacentral:rRNA from 1 species
AGCGAACGCUGGCGGCAGGCCUAACACAUGCAAGUCGAACGGUAACAGGUCUUCGGAUGCUGACGAGUGGCGAACGGGUGAGUAAUACAUCGGAACGUGCCUAGUAGUGGGGGAUAACUACUCGAAAGAGUGGCUAAUACCGCAUGAGAUCUACGGAUGAAAGCAGGGGAUCGCAAGACCUUGUGCUACUAGAGCGGCCGAUGGCAGAUUAGGUAGUUGGUGGGAUAAAAGCUUACCAAGCCGACGAUCUGUAGCUGGUCUGAGAGGACGAUCAGCCACACUGGGACUGAGACCCCGCCCAGACUCCUACGGGAGGCAGCAGUGGGGAAUUUUGGACAAUGGGCGCAAGCCUGAUCCAGCAAUGCCGCGUGCAGGAUGAAGGCCUUCGGGUUGUAAACUGCUUUUGUACGGAACGAAAAGCCCUGGGUUAAUACCCUGGGGUCAUGACGGUACCGUAAGAAUAAGCACCGGCUAACUACGUGCCAGCCGCCGCCGUAAUAC